rnacentral:lncRNA from 1 species
CAAACAUUACCUUCAAUUGCUCACUGGACACCCUCAUUGUGCUAUUUCAUGUCCUGAAGAAAAUAAAAUGUAUCCUGGAACACUAAUCAGAGUCUGAAUGCAGAAUGCUUUGGAUCACUUUGGCAAUUUUUUUCAAUAAUUUGCAUAUCAAAUUAUGACUGCAGUUUUGGUAGUGAAAAAGAAGGAUUGAGGAUUUGUCUCCAGUCAGACAUGUUGAGGAGACCUUUCUGUUAGGCAGGCCUUCUGUGGGCUUUCCCAAACAUGUAUCCCAGCUCAGAGAAGCUGCCCUGUUAGCUCAGAGCUAUCAUCGAGCCUGCUUGCACUGGAUAUGUCCCCAUUCCUUCCUUGCACAAGCAUUUCAGAUGAUAGGGAGUAUUUCAAGGUUUUUUAGGUCUUUUACUUCUGAAAUCUCUUAGGAGUGAACACUGAAGGAAGCACACGUAUUUGAGGAAGGAAUGGGGGGAAACUAGCAGAGGGGUUCCCAGCUUGCUUUUUGAUGUGAUUGCAGCCAUAUUAAGCUUUUUUCUAGUACUCCAAAAUGCUGUGUAAGCAGUCCCUGCAAGUGAAGGCUGUAUUGUUUCAAGAGAACAGCAUAACCAUUUUGACAUACAGCUGUUAUAUUUCAUUUGACCAGAUGGAACAACCCUCUUUUAGUUUCAGAAUAUAGCUAAUCUUAAUAUAUUUUUCUAAGCAAGAAAAAUUGCACCAUAAAUAUUCAGGCAUUACACUCGGAAAGCUGGAGAGGAAAGUUUUAUCAUCAACGUGCAAAACUGUAUAAUCAUUUAUCAUCAUUCUCCUUCCCAGCUGUGAAGAGUAUGUCUUUUUUUAGUGUAUACUGUCAUAUUCCAAUGCUAGCUAAGUCUGUGUUUUGCUUUCGAAUAUGGAUGAUUCUGUUGGCAGCAGAGGGACUUUCUGUAGCUUUUAUUCCAAAAACCUCCCUCCUGUAAACUUUGGUUUUCACCCCCUCUGCAGAGCUGCCUCCAGUCCCUACCCAGUCCUACCCCAUGGACAACAGUGGGAUUAGCAGUGACAGUGUCACUGAAGGAUGGAGACUGUGAGUCACAGAGGAAGGUUAAUCCCAUCCACAUGCUUUCUAUAAGAGUCAUACAAGCCAAGAACAUCAAGUCAAGAGACCUCUGUGAGUUGUGGUUUGUUUGUUUUCUUUUGUCACCUCCAGAGUUUAUAUGCCAUGAACAGUGUUCCUGAGUACUAAAGGUACACAAGUAACAUACAUAAAGCAAAG